AGAGUUUGAUCCUGGCUCAGGAUGAACGCUGGCGGCGUGCCUAAUACAUGCAAGUCGAGCGGCAGCGAAGGGUGCUUGCACCCUGNUCGGCGAGCGGCGGACGGCUGAGUAACGCGUAGGAACGUACCCCAAAGUGAGGCAUAAGCACCAGAAAUGGUGUCUAAUACCGCAUGUGCUCUACGGAGUAAAGCCUUCGGGCGCUUUGGGAACGGCCUGCGUAAGAUUAGCUAGUUGGUGAGGUAAUGGCUCACCAAGGCGACGAUCUUUAGCUGGUCUGAGAGGAUGAUCAGCCAGACUGGGACUGAGACACGGCCCANACUCCUACGGGAGGCAGCAGUAGGGAAUUUUCCACAAUGGGGGCAACCCUGAUGGAGCAACGCCGCGUGCAGGAUGAAGGCCUUCGGGUUGUAAACUGCUUUUAUAUGUGACGAAUAUGACGGUAGCAUAUGAAUAAGGAUCGGCUAACUCCGUGCCAGCAGCCGCGGUCAUACGGAGGAUCCAAGCGUUAUCCGGAAUUACUGGGCGUAAAGAGUUGCGUANGUGGCGUAGUAAGUAGAUAGUGAAAGCGUUCGGCUCAACCGAAUAUCCAUUAUCUAAACUGCUAAGCUAGAGAAUGAGAGAGGUCACUGGAAUUCCCUGUGNUAGGAGUGAAAUCCGUAGAUAUANGGAGGAACACCGAUGGC
rnacentral:rRNA from 1 species